AAGUCGUAACAAGGUUUCCGUAGGUGAACCUGCGGAAGGAUCAUUAUCCUUAGCGUAGUACUCUUACCAGUAUUACAAGCGCACGCACUCUUGUGUUGCGUAAAAAUGCACAGCGGUGAUGCCUAGUCAUUUUCGCUUACAAAACCCAUGCAUGCUCGUGUGUGGUCGGGUACCUAAGCAUGUGCUUUAGCACAACGUAAGCGGUGGAUGCUUGUCCAUCGUGUGGCGUAAAGAUUAUUCAUGCCUUGAAUAACGCCCGCUUAGCAAACAAUUUUAUACCAAAUAUUAAUCGCAAUACUAUGUUGUAUGUGUAAAGCACUAUCUUAUAGCUUAUAAGAUAAUAACACAAAUACAACCCUAUGCGGUGGAUCAUUUGGCUC
rnacentral:misc_RNA from 1 species